UGUUUAUGAAUGACUGCUCUCAAUGCAGACUCAGAGUCUGAGAUGCAGCAGCACAUGAACAGG
rnacentral:pre_miRNA from 2 species